GCCGCGAGGGUGCGCUAGCGCCGGGGACCCGAGGCGCGCAAAAGAGAGACGUGGUCCGCGCAGUUGAAGCCGGCGCGCGAGGUGUGCCGCGCGGUUUGGCAAGUGUCGGCGUUGUGCAAAAGCGUGCUUUCAGUUUACGCAGUCACAGCAACAUGAACGUCAGCCUACAGGCAGGUCAAGGACAUCGGAAGACGUCUGAGAAGUUCUCACCGUAUAGCUCUUGAUACUGUCUGGCGCCGUAACUGAGAAUGCAAACUACCUGCCAAAACAUGCACACCGGCGCGGUCGUCCUGCACAGCGCCUCGUCCGAAGCGAUCCAGAGCGCUCUGCUUCUGGAUGACCAACAGGAAAAGCUGGCAGCUGACCACCUUCGACAACACUUUGCGAGGCUGUUGCGAGGAAAAAUGAAAACUAAAGCUUUCCAUUCAAUGUUCUUCCCUGCGUGUGAAAAACACAACGGCAAGCAUAUGGUGCAAUUCCAUGAUUAUCCAUACGAUGUAUUGGGCACGAAGGAAAUUGACAUUACAUAAGGAUGCACUUACCGCACCAAGUGCACAACACAAUGCCCUACAAUGCUGAAAGCCUGACUGGUACUACGGCAGUAUGCAAGCUUGUGAAUUCCCAAGCAUUUUCCUGACAAUACUAGCGUCGCCACCCCGCACUUCACCGACGACAUUGCGAGCACGAAGCUUUACGCUGGCAUUAAGGGUUGGCUGACGAUGCGAAUGACCUACAUCGGCCGACAGCGAUGUCACUGUGUUGGCAUGCGGUGAACGCGGGUCGGUGCCAAAGUGAUCACGUUGAAGAUAGUGGUACAUACGUUCCUUAAGCAAACAAGUAAAAAUUCAAUAACACCAACUCGCAGCCCUAUUCCCCUUCCCUUUGUUUCUUGUCAUAUUGGUUAUGUGGUAUUAAGCGACAU